AAGUCGUAACAAGGUUUCCGUAGGUGAACCUGCGGAAGGAUCAUUACUGUAGGGACUUGUCCCCGCUGAGAUAGCACCCACUGUUCAUGAGUACCCUCGUUUCCUGGGCAGGCCCGCCUGCCCAUGGACAGUAUAAACCUCCUGCGGUAGCAGUACUUUUUGGUUAAAACACAAAUGUUAAAACUUUCAACAACGGAUCUCUUGGUUCUGGCAUCGAUGAAGAACGCAGCGAAAUGCGAUAAGUAGUGUGAAUUGCAGAAUUCAGUGAAUCAUCGAAUCUUUGAACGCACAUUGCGCCCUCCGGUAUUCCGGCGGGCAUGCCUGUUCGAGCGUCAUUUAAACCUUCAAGCUUUUGCUUGGUGUUGGGUGUUUGUUCCGCCUUGGUGCGUGGACUCGCCUCAAAUCUAUUGGCAGCUGGCACGUUGGCCUCAUGCGCAGCACGUUGCUCAUCGAUUCCAACCCUCCCUCCUUCCAUCAAGCUCCUUUUUUACUUUGACCUCGGAUCAGGUAGGGAUACCCGCUGAACUUAAGCAUAUCAAUAAGCGGAGGAAAAGAAACCAACAGGGAUUGCCCUAGUAACGGCGAGUGAAGCGGCAACAGCUCAAAUUUGAAAUCUGUCCCUCUUAGGGUCCGAGUUGUAAUUUGCAGAGGGUGCUUUGGCGUUGGCAGCAGCCUAAGUUCCUUGGAACAGGUCAUCAUAGAGGGUGAGAGUCCCGUUUGUGGCUGCUUGUCUUUGCUGUGUAAAGCCCCUUCGACGAGUCGAGUUGUUUGGGAAUGCAGCUCUAAAUGGGAGGUAAAUUUCUCCUAAAGCUAAAUAUUGGCCAGAGACCGAUAGCGCACAAGUAGAGUGAUCGAAAGAUGAAAAGCACUUUGGAAAGAGAGUCAAAAAGCACGUGAAAUUGUUGAAAGGGAAGCGCUUGCAGCCAGACGUGCCCGUAGUUGCUCAUCUAGGGGCUCUCCCUAGUGCACUCUUCUAUGGGCAGGCCAGCAUCAGUCCGGGCGGUUGGAGAAAGACCUGUGUCACGUAGCUCUUUUCGGGGAGUGUUAUAGGGCAGGUGGAAUGCAAUCAGCCUAGACUGAGGUCCGCGCAUCUGCUAGGAUGCUGGCGUAAUGGCUGUAAGCGGCC
rnacentral:rRNA from 1 species